rnacentral:rRNA from 1 species
CUGCGAGUGAAGCGGGAAAAGCUCAAAUUUAAAAUCUGGCGGUCUCAGGCCGUCCGAGUUGUAAUCUAGAGAAGUGUUAUCCGCGCUGGACCGUGUACAAGUCUCCUGGAAUGGAGCGUCAUAGAGGGUGAGAAUCCCGUCUUUGACACGGACUGCCAGGGCUUUGUGAUGCGCUCUCAAAGAGUCGAGUUGUUUGGGAAUGCAGCUCAAAAUGGGUGGUAAAUUCCAUCUAAAGCUAAAUAUUGGCGAGAGACCGAUAGCGAACAAGUACCGUGAGGGAAAGAUGAAAAGAACUUUGGAAAGAGAGUUAAACAGUACGUGAAAUUGCUGAAAGGGAAACGCUUGAAGUCAGUCGCGUUGGCCGGGGAUCAACCUUGCUUUUGCUGGGUGUACUUCCCGGUCGACGGGUCAGCAUCAAUUUUGACCGUUGGAUAAAGUCUGAGGGAAUGUGGCAUCUCCGGAUGUGUUAUAGCCCUCGGUCGCAUACAACGAUUGGGAUUGAGGAACUCAGCACGCCGAAAGGCCGGGUACUUGUACCACGUUCGUGCUUAGGAUGCUGGCAUAAUGGCUUUAAUCGACCC